UUUAAGUUUUGACUGAUUAGGACCGUUUCAAUAGACCUAUUGCAAGUGCUAGAGAUACUUGGUUUGAUGUGCUUGAACGCUACUCCAACGACUACGAAACACACAAGAGGCUUUAUUAAUAGUGACUUUAGACCACAAGAGGAAGGCUUGAUACAACGCUGUUCAAGUUGGGUUACUGGUGAACGCCUAAGCUUUUUUACUUUAAUGGACAUCAAUGCUUUUUGGGUCGUUAAUGUUUGUUUUCCGUCCAUUUUCCUUGCUGCUUUUGUAUUUAGGAUUUUAAGCUCAAUCGUGAAAUUGAGUGUAGGCCUUUUUUAUUGUACAUAAGUUCUUAACGUGGAGUCAAUACAAAUCUUCCUUGUACAUAUUCUACUGUUUAAGUAAUGAACAAAA